AUUGAACGCUGGCGGCAUGCCUUACACAUGCAAGUCGAACGGCAGCACGGGUGCUUGCACCUGGUGGCGAGUGGCGAACGGGUGAGUAAUACAUCGGAACGUACCUUAUCGUGGGGGAUAACGCAGCGAAAGUUGCGCUAAUACCGCAUACGCCCUGAGGGGGAAAGCGGGGGACCGUAAGGCCUCGCGCGAUUAGAGCGGCCGAUGUCUGAUUAGCUUGUUGGGGAGGUAAAAGCUCACCAAGGCGAUGAUCAGUAGCUGGUCUGAGAGGACGAUCAGCCACACUGGGACUGAGACACGGCGCGGACUCCUACGGGAGGCAGCAGUGGGGAAUUUUGGACAAUGGGGGCAACCCUGAUCCAGCAAUGCCGCGUGAGUGAAGAAGGCCUUCGGGUUGUAAAGCUCUUUUGUCAGGGAAGAAACAGCAGCUCUAACACAGUCUGCGAAUGACGGUACCUGAAGAAUAAGCACCGGCUAACUACGUGCCAGCAGCCGCGGUAA
rnacentral:rRNA from 1 species